rnacentral:rRNA from 1 species
UGAGGAAUAUUGGUCAAUGGACGAGAGUCUGAACCAGCCAAGUAGCGUGAAGGAUGACUGCCCUAUGGGUUGUAAACUUCUUUUAUACGGGAAUAAAGUUAGCCACGUGUGGCUUUUUGUAUGUACCGUAUGAAUAAGGAUCGGCUAACUCCGUGCCAGCAGCCGCGGUAAUACGGAGGAUCCGAGCGUUAUCCGGAUUUAUUGGGUUUAAAGGGAGCGUAGGCGGGUUGUUAAGUCAGUUGUGAAAGUUUGCGGCUCAACCGUAAAAUUGCAGUUGAUACUGGCGACCUUGAGUGCAACAGAGGUAGGCGGAAUUCGUGGUGUAGCGGUGAAAUGCUUAGAUAUCACGAAGAACUCCGAUUGCGAAGGCAGCUUACUGGAUUGUAACUGACGCUGAUGCUCGAAAGUGUGGGCAUCAAACAGGAUUAGAUACCCUGGUAGUCCACACAGUAAACGAUGAAUACUCGCUGUUGGCGAUAUACGGUCAGCGGCCAAGCGAAAGCAUUAAGUAUUCCACCUGGGGAGUACGCCGGCAACGGUGAAACUCAAAGGAAUUGACGGGGGCCCGCACAAGCGGAGGAACAUGUGGUUUAAUUCGAUGAUACGCGAGGAACCUUACCCGGGCUUAAAUUGCAACUGACUGAACCGGAAACGGUUCUUUCUUCGGACAGUUGUGAAGGUGCUGCAUGGUUGUCGUCAGCUCGUGCCGUGAGGUGUCGGCUUAAGUGCCAUAACGAGCGCAACCCUUAUCGAUAGUUACUAGCAGGUCAUGCUGAGGACUCUAUUGAGACUGCCGUCGUAAGAUGUGAGGAAGGUGGGGAUGACGUCAAAUCAGCACGGCCCUUACGUCCGGGGCUACACACGUGUUACAAUGGGGGGUACAGAAGGCAGCUACACGGCGACGUGGUGCUAAUCCCGAAAGCCUCUCUCAGUUCGGAUUGGAGUCUGCAACCCGACUCCAUGAAGCUGGAUUCGCUAGUAAUCGCGCAUCAGCCACGGCGCGGUGAAUACGUUCCC